rnacentral:lncRNA from 1 species
CCCUCCUGAGCUCCAGACCCACCUGGCCCCAGCUUCCUGGCCACUUCCACUAGGAUGCCCAAGAGCCCAUUGGACUUGACACGUCCAGAACAGAAUCUCCCGUCCAGGACUCCCCAGCUCAAGGAGUGAUAUGACAUGUGAGGAGGCGACUGCAAUCAUCCUGAGAAGAGAUGCUGGAGGCUGCGCUGGACUUUGGCUCAUGGGCCAACGUGUGACCAGGCACAAAGGAGAUGCUUAGUGAACACAUCUUGACAUGAACUAAAAGAUA